GUGAGGAAUAUUGGUCAAUGGGCGGGAGCCUGAACCAGCCAAGUCGCGUGAAGGAAGAAGGAUCUAUGGUUCGUAAACUUCUUUUGCAGGGGAAUAAAGUGCAGGACGUGUCCUGUUUUGUAUGUACCCUGAGAAUAAGGAUCGGCUAACUCCGUGCCAGCAGCCGCGGUAAUACGGAGGAUCCAAGCGUUAUCCGGAAUCAUUGGGUUUAAAGGGUGCGUAGGUGGUUUGAUAAGUCAGCGGUGAAAGUUUGCAGCUUAACUGUAAAAAUGCCGUUGAAACUGUCGGACUUGAGUGUAAAUGAGGUAGGCGGAAUGCGUGGUGUAGCGGUGAAAUGCAUAGAUAUCACGCAGAACUCCGAUUGCGAAGGCAGCUUACUAAGCUACAACUGACACUGAAGCACGAAAGCGUGGGGAUCAAAUAGGAUUAGAUACCCGUGUAGUCC
rnacentral:rRNA from 1 species